GACGAAGGGGGCUAGCGUUGUUCGGAAUUACUGGGCGUAAAGCGCGUGUAGGCGGUUGUCCAAGUUGGAUGUGAAAGCCUUGAGCUUAACUCAAGAAAUGCAUUCAGGACUGGAUGACUAGAGGACCGGAGAGGAUAGUGGAAUUCCCAGUGUAGUGGUGAAAUACGUAGAGAUUGGGAAGAACACCAGUGGCGAAGGCGGCUAUCUGGCCCAACAUUGACACUCAGACCCGAAAGUGCGGGGAUCAAACAGG
rnacentral:rRNA from 1 species